GAUGAACGCUGGCGGCGUGCUUAACACAUGCAAGUCGAACGGAAAGGCUCCUGCUUGCAGGGGUACUCGAGUGGCGAACGGGUGAGUAACACGUGGGUGAUCUGCCCUGCACUUCGGGAUAAGCCUGGGAAACUGGGUCUAAUACCGGAUAGGAUGAGGGUUUGGAUGCCAUUGUGGAAAGUUUUUCGGUGUGGGAUGGGCUCGGGGCCUAUCAGCUUGUUGGUGGGGUAAUGGGCUACCAAGGCGUCGACUGGUGGCCGGCCUGGGAGGGUGGACGGCCACAUUGGGACUGAGGGACGGCGCAGACUCCUACGGGAGGCAGCAGUGGGGAAUAUUGCACAAUGGGCGCGAGCGUGAUGCAGCGGCGCCGCGUGGGGGAUGACGGCCUUUGGGUUGUAAACACCUUUCGCUAGAGACGAAGCGCAAGUGACGGUACCUAGAGAAGAAGCACCGGCUAACUACGUG
rnacentral:rRNA from 1 species